rnacentral:lncRNA from 1 species
GCACCAAAAUACACACACUUUGGCGGGAAAACGCAUCACCUUUUAUUUUUAUGAUUCAGCCAAUAUUUUAAUGUUCAAUUAAUGCUUCAAUUAAUGUGCUUAAAUAGAAUACAGCUGUGAUGCUGCGGUUUACUAUUCAACAGAUCAUUUUAAGAUUUUUAUUGUACAAUUUGCUGAGAUAUCUAUAAUAUACACAUUUAAAACUACAAAUUGCGGGGCUCAAGACAACAUGUAUUGCAGAGCCAAUUAAUACAAAACUUAGCCACCAAGAUAUCUUCUUUAUAUUUCCCCUCUCCCCAGCCAUUUUUUUCAUUUGCAUUCUUCUCUUUCGUUUCAUGUUUUCCUGCAGCUUCUUCUCUUUCUUUCCUCUUUUUUCUUCACCUUUUUCUUUCUUAUUUUCGGCAGCUUCUGGCUUUUGUUCUUGCCUCUUCCUUUUCUUCAUCAACUUCUUUUUUUCUUCAUCAGCUUCUUGCUUCAAUGUCUGCACCUUCUUUUCAUCAGCUUCUGCACCUUCAUUAAAAUAUUUAAUGAUGCAAAUUCAAGGCAGCUUCUUGCUUUUUUCUCUAAUAUUCUUGCUUUCAAUUUUUAUAUUUUUUUCAUUUCUACAUAAGCUUGCAUAAAUUUCUGCAUUUGUUACCUUUCUGCAUCUAUGCUUUUCUUUCUCACAGCUUCUUACAUCAUUUUCUUUCUUUUUUAUAUCUUUAGCUUUUUUCUUCCUAUUUGAUGUGUUUUUUUAUGUUUUACUGCUUCUUUAGAUUCAUUCUUUUAUUUCUUUUUUAUAUCUUCAACUUUUUUUCUUCUUCUUAUUUUAUGUGUUUCUUUCUCUUUUACUACAUAUUUACAUUGCUUUUUCCUAUUUUCUGCACUUCUAAGCAAAAUAUUAUUAUAAUCUAAUACAGACAUUUAUUAAUCUCAUAAAUGUGAUAAUGAUGAAAGGGCAAAACAUUAUCACUUUUUUUCCUAAUAUUUUUAUAAAGGCCAUUUGUUUUUUAUAUUUUGUAGCACAAGUUGUAUAUAUUAGUCCAAAGUCAAAUGAAAAUAGAACUUCUCUUAGAGCAUCCACUAUGGUGGGUUUUUUGGAGGAAGUUUGGAGGUAGUACCAUAGUGGGGGUUUUUAAAAAUGGGGUAGUAAAUUCUUGAGGUAGCAAUAUUGCUACCCGGUAGUUGUCCAAAAAAGUGGGUCCCAUGCUAAUUUUUUAUGAUUUUAGUAUGUGUAUGUGUAGUAGUAAAUAUAAUAAUAAUGAUAGUGGGGUCCAUGAAUAGUUAAAUAUGAGGUAGUGGGAUAGUGGAGAAAAUAUGAGGUAGUUGAAAAAUGAGGUAGUUGUUGAGGUGGCACACAUGUGGCACCACUAUGGGGUAGCACCAUAGUGGAUGCUCUUAUUUUCGUAAGAGAAAUUAUAUACUAUAUUCACCAUUCUCCUACUCAUUAUAUUUAUGAAGAUGGUAAGGAGGAGAGAAAUUUUAUAUCAUGUUAUUUACCAUUACUCUUAUCUUUUUGCCACAAAUGAAUAACAAGUAGAAUAUAUAAUUGCUCCUGAUGCUUCUUCUAUUUUAUGCAGGCAGCACAUAAAAGUGACAAAAUGGAUGCAACAAGAUGAAAACAAGAAAUGAUUUUUUAUUUUUUCGAUUCCAUUUAUUUUGCUUAUUAAAUAUACCGACGCGAUGCAUGGACCAUAUUGACUCAAGAAUUCUGAAUAUCUUUUUUUACACAUUGCCAUAUUGACUCAAGAAUUGUGAAAAUAGUGUCAAAUAGCCAAGUUAGAUAAACUAUUUUAAAUCACAAAAAAUCUGAUCUAAAUUUUUAAGAUAGUGAUGAUACUUUUUUUUCAAAAAAGCUGCGAGUGCUUGACAGAGACCAACGGUGGUAGUGGACUUGCCUUCCCAACGGAGUGAUACCCCCAACAACCACCUAAUACACAUCUCCACUUCCUCCAUGUUCAUCCAGCGCCGACACCAACACCUGAAAAUUAACUCUUUUUUAGUACAGACAAAGAGAUAAAACAAAAGUAAGAAUUAUGCAACAAAAAAAGUUCGAACACAAAUAGGGAAACUGUGUCAAAAGAGUAGAUGAUUGCUAAUUUUUUAUCGAAGAUGAUGAAAGAGGAGUAUAUAGCAGAUUCAUACUAAUCUGACAAAAAAAAAGAAAAAAUAAACUAUUAUUUUAAGAACCCAUUUGUGUAGAUAUUCGUAGAUCUAACAAAAUAAUACCAUAAACACAAAAAAUAAAUUAAUAACUCAAAAAUGAAAAAACUAAUAUGGCUACAAAAUUAAAGAUCUUACUCGAUAUUAAUUAAAAAAA